AAUUCUUAAAAAAUAUACAUUUAGUAUUUACUUUUUUGUUUGUGUGUUAUUAAUACUAGGUGAUAUCUUUUAAAGCAUAUAAGGAAAAAAAAAUUAAACAGAAAUGUUUUUAAUUCAGUUCUUUUUUAAUUGUUUUAUAUGCCACAUUGAUUUCCUAAAAAAAAAAUAAUGAUUGUGAAAAAUGUAUAAAAAGCCAUUUUAAAGUAUUUUUUCUAAGAUGUGAUGUAGUUCAACAAAGUAAUGCAGUGCAUUUAUUCACUUGUGUUGUUUCCUCCUGGAUAACGCGUUUAUCAAAAGUUAAUUGAUUGACACAGCGGGAUGCCGUGGUCAGCGCUGAUGAAACCGCUCCUUGCUGCAAACUAUUUCCACGUGAUCUAUAUAGGUCAACUUAUCAAGAUUUUGAAAAACCGGGCAGCAUUCUUGAGAGACAAAGAACAGGAUUUAGGGAAUAUUUUACAUCACCGUAUGCGGCUGUUUGCAAAGACUAAAUAUUACAUGUUAUGAGAGGCAUUGGACAGAAUGAAGUUUGCUACACACCAUCUUGGAGGGAUUUACCGGGGUAUUAAUUUUAAAGAAGAAAACAAAGAAGUCCAAGUGCCAAACAGAUGAUUUCCAAAGGAAGAAGGAUAUUAUGAUUUUUUUUCUUAUUUCAAUUGUGACAAAUCUUCCCUGUUAAGAAGACUGUUAUUGACUGUGUGGAUGUAAAAAAGAGUUCAUGGAUUAUAUUUGUGAAAGAGUUUAAACCAAUUAAAACCAU